UACGUAGGGUGCGAGCGUUGUCCGGAAUUAUUGGGCGUAAAGAGCUUGUAGGCGGUUUGUCGCGUCUGCUGUGAAAUCUCAAGGCUCAACCUUGAGCUUGCAGUGGGUACGGGCAGACUAGAGUGUGGUAGGGGAGACUGGAAUUCCUGGUGUAGCGGUGAAAUGCGCAGAUAUCAGGAGGAACACCGAUGGCGAAGGCGGCUCUCUGGGACGGUACUGACGCUGAGACGCGAAAGCGUGGGGAGCGAACAGG
rnacentral:rRNA from 1 species